GACAGAGGGUGCAAACGUUGUUCGGAAUUACUGGGCGUAAAGCGCGUGUAGGCUGCUUCGCAAGUCGGAUGUGAAAGCCCUGGGCUCAACCCAGGAAGUGCAUUCGAAACUGCAGAGCUGGAGUCCUGGAGAGGAAGGCAGAAUUCUCGGUGUAGAGGUGAAAUUCGUAGAUAUCGAGAGGAACACCGGUGGCGAAGGCGGCCUUCUGGACAGUGACUAACGCUGAGACGCGAAAGCGUGGGGAGCAAACAGG
rnacentral:rRNA from 1 species